rnacentral:rRNA from 1 species
UACGUAGGGGGCAAGCGUUAUCCGGAUUUACUGGGUGUAAAGGGAGCGUAGACGGCGGUGCAAGCCAGAUGUGAAAGCCCGGGGCUCAACCCCGGGACUGCAUUUGGAACUGUAUGGCUGGAGUGUCGGAGAGGCAGGCGGAAUUCCUAGUGUAGCGGUGAAAUGCGUAGAUAUUAGGAGGAACACCAGUGGCGAAGGCGGCUUACUGGAUCGUGACUGACGCUGAAGCACGAAAGCGUGGGUAUCGAACAGG